AUGAACGCUAGCGACAGGCUAACACAUGCAAGUCGAGGGGCAGCACAAGGAGCAAUCUGAGGUGGCGACCGGCGCACGGGUGAGUAACACGUAUGCAACCUGCCUGUAAGCGGGGAAUAACCCGUUGAAAGACGGACUAAUACCGCAUAAUACUAAAUUACUGCAUGGUAAUUUAUUUAAACAUUUAUGGCUUACAGAUGGGCAUGCGCAUGAUUAGCUAGUUGGAGAGGUAACGGCUCCCCAAGGCAACGAUCAUUAGGGGUUCUGAGAGGAAGGUCCCCCACACUGGUACUGAGACACGGACCAGACUCCUACGGGAGGCAGCAGUGAGGAAUAUUGGUCAAUGGACGAGAGUCUGAACCAGCCAAGUCGCGUGCAGGAAGAAUGUCCCUAUGGAUUGUAAACUGCUUUUGCAGGGGAAUAAAGUGCAUCACGUGUGAUGUUUUGUAUGUACUCUGCGAAUAAGGAUCGGCUAACUCCGUGCCAGCCGCUGC
rnacentral:rRNA from 1 species